UCUGGGGAAGCAUUUCCCAGGAUGGAAAUUUCUUUUAGCAUUUUCGAAAUGUCUUCAGUGCUGGGCAAACUCAGCAUCUCCCACAAAGCACUCCUUUUUCUCCUCUUUUUCAGGAAUGGGCAGAUCUCAGAAGUGACUCCCACUCCCCUGCGAAAGGAAGUAACCAAUAUUGGGACUUUGAAAAGAUAGUGAACAGUUACAGCUGAGUCAGGCAGAUUGAGUUGCUCACUGAGAAGAUGGAUUGCAGACAGGCAGAUUCAGUUUCUAGCUGAUGCAACUGAUUGCAGAAGCCAUGGCUUUGCGAGCCCGAAAGGAGCAGUAAUUAGAGGAAUUAUUGAGUCUGUCAUUUGCACCUCUAUAACUGUCUGGUUCGGUUCUGCAACCCAACAAGAAAAACACAGACUUCAGAGGAUAAUUAGAACUGCAGAAAAAAUAAUUGCUACCAACUUGCCUUCCAUUGAGGACCUGUAUACUGCACGAAUCAAGAAGAGGGCCGUGAAAAUAUUUGCAGAUCCUUCGCAUCCUGGACAUAAACUGUUUCAACUCCUACCCUCAAAACGACGCUAUAGAGCACUGCACACCAGAACAACUAGACACAAGAACAGUUUUUCCCCCGAAGGCCAUCACUCUGCUAAACAAAUAAUUCCCUCAACACUGUCAGACUAUUUACUGAAUCUGCACUACUAUUAAUCGUUUCAUAGUUCCCAUCACCAAUCUCUUUCCACUUAUGACUGUAUGACUAUAACUUGUUGCUGGCAAUCCUUAUGAUUUAUAUUGAUAUAUUGAUCAUCAAUUGUGUUGUAAAUGUUGUACCUUGAUGAACGUAUCUUUUCUUUUAUGUACACUGAGAGCAUAUGCACCAAGACAAAUUCCUUGUGUGUCCAAUCACACUUGGCCAAUAAAAUUCUAUUCUAUUCUAUUCUAUUCUAUUCUAUUCUAUUCUAUUCUAUUCUAUUCUAUUCUAUUCUAUU